CAUUAUUCCUAACAGCCAAAAAGUGGAGACAACCUUGGAUUCUACUAUCAGAUGAAUGGAUAAACAAAAUGUGGUAUAUACAGACAAUGGAAUAUUUGGCCAUACAAAGGAAUGAAGUACUGAAAUGUGCUGCAACAUGGAUAAAUCCUGAAAACAGUAGGGCUGUCCUUGUUUAUCCCCUCCCAGUAGCAGUCAUCCAGAGACCAUCAGGGAGCAGAGCUGAACUGGACAAUGGCAGGGUUCUGAGCACACAGAGCCCCUCUAGGUAAGGUAACAAGCUCCCCAUGACACUGAGAUGACUCUAUCCAAGUGUAUCCAAAAUGAUAGUGGAUAUCAAAACCAACACCAAAGAAAUACAAACAAUUAUAAGAACAUAUUAUGAGCAACUAUACGCCAGCAAAUUUGACAAUCUGGAAGAAAGGGAUGCACUCCUAGAGAUGUAAAAACUACCAAAACUGAACCAGGAAGACAUAGAAAACCUGAACAGACCCAUAACCAGUAAGGAGAUUGAAGCAGUCAUCAAAAAUCUCCCAACAAACAAGAGCCCAAGACCAGAUGGCUUCCCAGGGGAAUUCAACCAAACAUUUAAAGAAGAAUUAAUACCUAUUCUUCUGAAACUGUUCCAAAAAAUAGAAAUGGAAGGAAAACUUCCAAACUCAUUUUAUGAGGCCAGCAUUACCUUGAUCCCAAAACUAGACAAACACCCAACAAAUAGGAGAAUUACAGACCAAUAUCCUUGAUGAGCACAGAUGCAAAAAUUCUCACCAAAAUACUAACCAAUAGGAUCCAACAGUACAUUAAAAGGAUUAUUCACCACGACCAAGUGGGAUUUAUUCCAGGGCUGCAAGGUUGGUUCAACAUCCGCAAAUCAGUCAAUGUGAUACAACACAUCAAUAAAAGUAAGAACAAGAACUAUAUGAUACUCUCAAUAGAUGCUGAAAAAGCAUUUGACAAAGUACAGCAUCCUUUCUUGAUCAAAACUCUUAAAAAUGUAGGGAUAGAGGGUACAUACCUCAAUAUCAUCAAAACCAGCUGUGAAAAACCCACAGUGAAUAUCAUUCUCAUUGGGCAAAAACUGAGAGCUUUUCCUCUAGGGUCAGGAACAUGGCAGGGAUGUCCAAUAUCACCACUGCUAUUCAACAUAGUACUAGAAGUCCUAGCCUCAGCAAUCAGACAACAAAAAGAAAUAAAAUGCAUUUGAAUUGGCAAAGAAGAAGUCAAAUUCUCCCUCUUUGCAAAUGAUAUGAUACUUUAUGUGGAAAACCCAAAAGACUCCACUCCAAAACUGCUAGAAGUCAUACAGGAAUUCAGUAAAGUGUCAGGAUAUAAAAUCAAUGCACAGCAAUAUGUUGCAUUUCUAUACACCAGCAGCAAGAUAGAAGAAAGAGAAAUUAAGGAGUCAAUGCCAUUUACUAUUGCACCCAAAACCAUAAGAUACCUAGGAAUAAACCUAACCAAAGAGACAAAGAAUAUGUAUUCAGAAAACUAUAAAGUACUCAUGAAAGAAAUUGAGGAUGACACAAAGAAAUGGAAAAAUGUUCAACGCUCAUGGAUUAAAAGAACAAAUAUUAUGAAAAUGUCUAUGCUAACUAAAGCAAUCUAUACAUUUAAUGAAAUCCCUAUCAAAAUACCAUCAAUUUUUUAAAGAAGUGGAACAAAUAAUCCUAAAAUUGGUAUGGAACCAGAAAAGACCCCAAAUAGCCAGAGAAAUGGUUGAAAAAGAAAACCAAAGUUGGUAGCACCAUAAUUCCAGACUUCAAGCUCUAUUACAAAGCUGUAAUCAUCAAGACAGUAUGGCAUUGGCACAAAAACAGACACAUAGAUGGAUGGAACAGAACAGAGUGCCCAGGAAUGGAACUUCAACUCUAUGGUCAACUGAUCUUCAAUAAAGCAGGAAAGAAUGUCCAAUGGGAAAAAGACAAGUCUCUUCAACAAAUGGUAUUGGGAAAAUUGGACAGCCACAUGCAAAAGAAGGAAUAUGGACCAUUUCCUUACACCACACACAAAAAUAGACUCAAAAUGGAUGAAAGACCUCAAUGUGAGAAAGGAAUCCAUCAAAAUCCUUGAGGAGAACAUAGGCAGCAACCUCUUCGACGUCAGCUGCAGCAAGUUCUUCCUAGAAACAUCAUCAAAGGCAAGGGAAGCAAGGGCACAAAUGAACUAUUGGGACUUCAUCAAGAUCAAAAGCUUUUGCACAGCAAAGGAAGCAGUCAGCAAAAUCAACUAACAAAAUGGGAGAAGAUAUUCACAAUUGACAUAUUAGAUAAAGGGCCAGUGCCAAAAUUUAUAAAGAAAUUAUCAAACUCAACACCCAAGGAACAAAUAAUCCAAUCAAGAAAUGGGAAGAGGGUGUACCUGGGUGGCUCAGUGGGUUAAGCCUCUGCCUUUGGCUCAGGUCAUUAUCUCAGGAUCCUGGGACUGAGCCCUGCAUCAGUCUCUCUGCUCUCAGCAGGGAGUGUACUUCCCCCCCCCCCCCUCUGCCUGCCUCUCUGCCUACUUGUGAUCUCUCUCUCUCUCUC